UGGGGAAUUUUCCGCAAUGGGCGAAAGCCUGACGGAGCAAGACCGCGUGGGGGAAGAAGGCUCUUGGGUUGUAAACCCCUUUUCUCUGGGAAGAACGAAAUGACGGUACCAGAGGAAUCAGCAUCGGCUAACUCCGUGCCAGCAGCCGCGGUAAGACGGAGGAUGCAAGCGUUAUCCGGAAUGAUUGGGCGUAAAGCGUCCGCAGGUGGCAGUUCAAGUCUGCUGUCAAAGACCGGGGCUUAACUUCGGAAAGGCAGUGGAAACUGAACAGCUAGAGUAUGGUAGGGGCAAAGGGAAUUCCCGGUGUAGCGGUGAAAUGCGUAGAGAUCGGGAAGAACAUCGGUGGCGAAAGCGCUUUGCUGGACCAUAACUGACACUCAGGGACGAAAGCUAGGGGAGCGAAUGGGAUUAGAUACCCCAGUAGUC
rnacentral:rRNA from 1 species